UGACCGAGCGAUGCCGCGUGAGUGAAGAAGGUCUUCGGAUUGUAAAGCUCUGUGAUUAGGGAAGAAGGCUAUUAGGAGGGAAUGCCUAAUAGGUGACGGUACCUAAUUAGAAAGCCCCGGCUAACUACGUGCCAGCAGCCGCGGUAAUUAA
rnacentral:rRNA from 1 species